AAACUCCUAGAGAGAACAUAGCUGCUUUGCUCAUGGGUGUUGAAUAUCUUACCAAAAUUUCAUAUGUGGAUGACACAGAAGUUUUCAAGGUUUGCUUAGACUUUUGGAAUUCGUUUGUGUUGGAACUAUUUGAGGCACACCACAAUUUGGAUAAUCCUGCUGUAACGGCAAACAUGAUGGGGCUGCAGAUACUUAUUUUAGCCUGUGGUUUUAUACUGAAUAAGUAGAUGCCUUUGCUACCUGGUAUGGUUGAUGGCCUUGGAUCACAACUGAUGCAGCGUGGCAAUUAUAUGCUGAGCCAAUGUCAAAGUUAAGAAUGCUUAUGAUUUCUUGUAUGGCCAAGCCAGAAGAGGUUCUCAUAGUGGAAGAUGAAAAUGGCAAUAUUGUUCGUGAAACCAUGAAGGACAAUGAUGUUCUCGUGCAAUAUAAGAUCAUGAGGGAGACUUUGAUAUUUAGAGAGCUUCGGAUGGCAACAAACAACUUCAGCAGCAAGUACUUGGUUGGAUGAUGAAUUGAAGGAUGGAGCAAGUUUCAUGCAUGAUUUACUUUUGUGUAUCUUGUAAUGUUUCAGUUUUUCAUUUUUAAAGUAAAAAAUGUUCAAGAUUAUAAAACUUUAUUAUGUUAUGCUUUCAAAUUUAAGUUAGAACUAAGAUCUCAUGAAGUAGACAUAUUCAUGGUUUGAAUUAGUUAUUGUUUAAUGUAAUACUUGUGGUUUAUCAAUCUAUUGAGAAUUACAUUU